rnacentral:rRNA from 1 species
AGAAUCAACGCUGGCGGCGUGCCUAACACAUGCAAGUCGAACGAGAAAGGGUAGCAAUACCUGAGUACAGUGGCGCACGGGUGAGUAACACGUGACUAACCUACCUUCGAGUGGGGGAUAACCUCGGGAAACCGAGGCUAAUACCGCAUAACAUCGUGAGAUCAAAGCAGUAAUGCGCUGGAAGAGGGGGUCGCGGCUGAUUAGCUAGUUGGCGGGGUAAUGGCCCACCAAGGCGAAGAUCGGUA